rnacentral:rRNA from 1 species
CGAACGGGUGAGUAACACGUGAGCAACCUACCUUACACAGGGGGAUAGCCGUUGGAAACGACGAUUAAUACCGCAUGAGACCACAGAAUCGCAUGAUAUAGGGGUCAAAGAUUUAUCGGUGUAAGAAGGGCUCGCGUCUGAUUAGCUAGUUGGAAGGGUAAAGGCCUACCAAGGCGACGAUCAGUAGCCGGUCUGAGAGGAUGAACGGCCACAUUGGAACUGAGACACGGUCCAA